CUUCGAGAGGAAAUAUAUUGUCUGUUGUUUUAGUAAUUUGAAGUUUCUUGGACUAAAAUCAAAUAGGAGGACGAGCAACACUGGCUAAUGAUGUCUUUGAGGGCGCAGCUGGUUUCCAUGGUGCUGUGUUGUGUUUAUGGACUGGCGUCUCUUUUCUGUUUACGUCCAAACCGCAACAACUGGAUCUCUGUGGGAGGGAGGAGUCUGUCCUCCAUAUUGCAGCACAUUUCUCAGAGAUUCUUUGGAUUGCUCCGAACAUCUCUAUGAUCCACAGAAAACACGAGAGUUGAAGCUUCGUGCUUUCAAUGUGCCACUCCCUCCUGAAGCCAGCAGAGGGAGACAGACACUGAAUCUGAGGCAAGAGACGUGUCUUUAUUUUGUGGUAUUGUAAACUAUUGGAAUGUUACAUUAAAAUACAAACCCUUAAAAAGUAUUAAAGCACUGUAUUGCAUGUAUAAUUUAA